AUUUAAUAGAACUGCAACGUAUACAUGCUCAUCGCUUCCAAAAGCUGUUUAAUUUGACUGUUCUCCUCCAGCAGAAUGAAGAGGUCUGUUAGCAGAAAUAAUCAACAGAACUGUCAACAUCAUUAAUGAGAAUUCUAAUGUUACUGCCUAACAAGACUGGUCAAGGGCCUCCUGCCAAUCACCUGCACUGGAGCCAUUCCUGAGCAAAGGUGUCCAGGAUGGGGCGUUUUUCCUGAGAUGUGUCAUAUGUUUUCACAGGGUCCUUCCAACACAUCACGGCAUUCUUUCCUGCUGAGCCCAAAGGCAACCUCUGAACAUCGACACAGAGCUCCAAGACCCAUUAACAAAUGACCCACGCAUCACAGGAGAUGAAAUCUGUGGACCACCACCUGGACUUUAGUCCGUGGCCAUCCUUGUCGACAGCCGUCUCUGCAGUUUACCUAUAAUGCGAGGCCUCCCUGUGGAACAUCCUGCUUGCUGUGAUCUGGAACACACCACACCUGCCUUAAGUACCACUUCUGCUGCCUCUUCUCACCUCUGGAGACCAUAUUUUGGGCCUGUCCACAGGAGCCCUGCCCAAUACCCACCUGGCUUUACCCCACCCCUACAGGCGGGUUGUAAGCACAGGCCCUCGCCUCUCUCAGUCUGCUCCACCCAAGUGGAAAUAACCAAUCCUGGCCAUGGAACACCUUGAGGGGCACAGCUUCAAUCUCCACUGCCUGACAGUGACCCCUGGGUUCCCACGCCUGCCCACACAGAGGUAAAUCUGGGAAUUCUCAUGAGCUACUACCUCUGAGGUUUUAUUAAAUUCUAAGCAUAAAUUAAGAAUAUAAGCAACACCUUUUACUGGGCCUGAAACUUCACUUACAAGACCUUACUCACUAUUUUAAAUGGCCAGCUUUUAACCAGCAUAUACAGCAAAGUAAGGUUGCUUAGACUUUCCACAGUAGAAGAAAAAUACAUCAGUUUAAAUUAAACCCACUGCUAACACGGUCUACAUUUCCUGCUUUGUUAAAUGGCUAAUGGAACGCCAGCCUGCUUUCAAAGAAGGGCCUGGCUUGCUCUAACGUGCUGCAGUGAACUCCCUGGUUUCAUGCUGCUUGCGUUCCUGAAAAUGUUUAUUUUGACAGACAUUUCUCAGCAUACCUGCUUCCAAAAAACACAUUCCCAAAUACUUUAAAUUAUAUACUAAUUAUAAAUCCCCUACUUUCUCAAUAUUAGAAAGACAAACUAAAAUGUCAACAACUAAAAUGAGCUCCAUAAUUUACGCAAAACUAGAAGCAUAGAAGUUGAGAGGAACAGAGAGCUCUCCCAACAAGCUCAUCGAAAACCAAGAUCAUUUCAAAUCCACACACAGUGAAAUACGGAUGACACUGACCAUACACACUACCAUUCAGCUAGUGGUUCUUUAAUCACAAGAGCAUGUUAUUAUAGAAACUUAGGCUAUUUCAGAUGAAGUCUAAAGCCACCAUUUAUCAGGCUCUAAAAACCAAACAAUGAGUGAAAUUGGAAAGUUCAAA